rnacentral:rRNA from 1 species
GAUGAACGCUGGCGGCGUGCCUAAUACAUGCAAGUCGAGCGAACGGACGAGAAGCUUGCUUCUCUGAUGUUAGCGGCGGACGGGUGAGUAACACGUGGAUAACCUACCUAUAAGACUGGGAUAACUUCGGGAAACCGGAGCUAAGACCGGAUAAUAUUUUGAACCGCAUGGUUCAAAAGUGAAAGACGGUCUUGCUGUCACUUAUAGAUGGAUCCGCGCUGCAUUAGCUAGUUGGUAAGGUAACGGCUUACCAAGGCAACGAUGCAUAGCCGACCUGAGAGGGUGAUCGGCCACACUGGAACUGAGACACGGUCCAGACUCCUACGGGAGGCAGCAGUAGGGAAUCUUCCGCAAUGGGCGAAAGCCUGACGGAGCAACGCCGCGUGAGUGAUGAAGGUCUUCGGAUCGUAGAACUCUGUUAUUAGGGAAGACCAUAUGUGUAAGUAACUGUGCACAUCUUGACGGUACCUAAUCAGAAAGCCACGGCUAACUACGUG